AGGAUGAACGCUGGCGGCGUGCCUAAUACAUGCAAGUCGAACGAGCUCUUCGGAGCUAGUGGCGGACGGGUGAGUAACACGUUGGUACCUACCCCGAAGUGGGGAAUAACUGCCCGAAAGGGUGGCUAAUACCGCAUAAUACCGCAAGGUUAAAGCGAGUAAUCGCGCUUCGGGAGGGGCCUGCGUCCCAUUAGCUAGUUGGUAGGGUAAUAGCCUACCAAGGCGACGAUGGGUAGCUGGAUCGAGAGGUUGACCAGCCACACUGGGACUGAGAUACGGCCCAGACUCCUACGGGAGGCAGCAGUAAGGAAUCUUCCACAAUGGACGAAAGUCUGAUGGAGCAACGCCGCGUGCAGGAUGACGGUCUUCGGAUUGUAAACUGCUUUUAUAUGGGAAGAUUAUGACGGUACCAUAUGAAUAAGGACCGGCUAACUACGUGCCAGCAGCCGC
rnacentral:rRNA from 1 species